rnacentral:rRNA from 1 species
GACGAACGCUGGCGGCGUGCUUAACACAUGCAAGUCGAACGGAAAGGCCCUGCUUUUGUGGGGUGCUCGAGUGGCGAACGGGUGAGUAACACGUGAGUAACCUGCCCUUGACUUUGGGAUAACUUCAGGAAACUGGGGCUAAUACCGGAUAGGAGCUCCUGCUGCAUGGUGGGGGUUGGAAAGUUUCGGCGGUUGGGGAUGGACUCGCGGCUUAUCAGCUUGUUGGGGGGGUAGUGGCUUACCAAGGCUUUGACGGGUAGCCGGCCUGAGAGGGUGACCGGCGACAUUGGGACUGAGAGAGGGCGCAGACGCGUACGGGAGGCAGUAGUGGGGAAUAUGGCACAAUGGGCGGAAGCCUGAUGCAGCAACGCCGCGUGCGGGAUGACGGCCUGUGGGUUGUAAACCGCUUUCGCCUGUGACGAAGCGUGAGUGACGGUAAUGGGUAAAGAAGCACCGGCUAACUACGUG